CCUCCUAAAACCAUCACACUGGGGAUUAGGAAUCAACACAUGAACUUGAGGGGAUGCAGACAUUCAGUCUAUUGCACAGCCCUUCCUCAGUGCCAGGGAGAGUGUCCACGAAGGGGACUAAGGCAGAGUUUCUGGUGUCAAGUUGCUCAGAGUCAGGUGAGGAAGACAAUGUGCACAGGAUUUGUUUACAGGAUAAUGAGAUAAAGGUACAACCAAGCCUCCAGGAAGGUAUGACUCAUUCUGUCAGGGUUAUCAGGGAGAUUCCAAAAGCGGUGAGUUUCGAGAGAUUGAUGUGGAGCCAAACUCCAGCAGCUAUGCUUAAUUUGUGUGCUAUUCAUGUGGAAAGCUGGCCUGGCUGUGCAUCCUGGAGAAGAAUUCUGGGCUUGGUUCUGCUCAGGACCCGCUCCUGUUAGCAGCCACUCUCUGCGCUUCUGCCGGAGGAGCAGGGCCUUUGCCCUCACAGCACUGAAUGUGCUGGGGUGAGUUGGCUCAGGGCGUUGAUUGGAUUCUCUGAGGCCUGAGGGCCCACGGGAAUAAACUAGGGAGAAGGGACUUGGGAUGGUCUCA
rnacentral:lncRNA from 1 species